rnacentral:rRNA from 1 species
UUAACACAUGCAAGUCGAGCGGUAGCACAGGGGAGCUUGCUCUCGGGUGACGAGUGGCGGACGGGUGAGUAAUGUCUGGGAAACUGCCUGAUGGAGGGGGAUAACUACUGGAAACGGUAGCUAAUACCGCAUAACGUCGCAAGACCAAAGAGGGGGACCUUCGGGCCUCUUGCCAUCAGAUGUGCCCAGAUGGGAUUAGCUAGUAGGUGGGGUAACGGCUCACCUAGGCGACGAUCCCUAGCUGGUCUGAGAGGAUGACCAGCCACACUGGAACUGAGACACGGUCCAGACUCCUACGGGAGGCAGCAGUGGGGAAUAUUGCACAAUGGGCGCAAGCCUGAUGCAGCCAUGCCGCGUGUGUGAAGGAGGCCUUCGGGUUGUAAAGCACUUUCAGCGAGGAGGAAGGUGGUGAACUUAAUACGUUCAUCAAUUGACGUUACUCGCAGAAGAAGCACCGGCUAACUCCGUGCCAGCAGCCGCGGUAAUACGGAGGGUGCAAGCGUUAAUCGGAAUUACUGGGCGUAAAGCGCACGCAGGCGGUUUGUUAAGUCAGAUGUGAAAUCCCCGGGCUCAACCUGGGAACUGCAUUUGAAACUGGCAAGCUAGAGUCUCGUAGAGGGGGGUAGAAUUCCAGGUGUAGCGGUGAAAUGCGUAGAGAUCUGGAGGAAUACCGGUGGCGAAGGCGGCCCCCUGGACGAAGACUGACGC